rnacentral:lncRNA from 1 species
CCAAGUGGCAUCUUCUGUUAGUAGGUUUGCUAACUGUAUUAGCAAUUCAGUAGUGGAUCGUCAUCGUCGAGUCAUGAUCCGUCGAUCAAUAAUGGCACUUGGCUGAGUCUGAAGUUCUCCUUGGGUAGUCAUAUUUGGUGGGUGGCUUUGGGUUGUCUCCAAGCACCUAUUUACAACUUCCGUCUGGCCGUCGGUUUGUGGGUGAUAUGUCAUACUUCUUUUCAAUUUAGUACCCUGCAUAUAGAAUAACUU